AGUGAACGCUGGCGGUAGGCCUAACACAUGCAAGUCGAACGGCAGCACAGUAAGAGCUUGCUCUUACGGGUGGCGAGUGGCGGACGGGAGAGGAAUACAUCGGAAUCUACUUUUUCGUGGGGGUUAACGUAGGGAAACUUACGCUAAUACAGCAUACGACCUACGGGUGAAAGCAGGGGAUCUUCGGACCUUGCGCGAUUGAAUGAGCCGAUGUCGGAUUAGCUAGUUGGCGGGGUAAAGGCCCACCAAGGCGACGAUCCGUAGCUGGUCUGAGAGGAGGGUCAGCCACACUGGAACGGAGACACGGUCCAGACUCCUACGGGAGGCAGCAGUGGGGAAUAUUGGACAAUGGGCGCAAGCCUGAUCCAGCCAUACCGCGUGGGUGAAGAAGGCCUUCGGGUUGUAAAGCCCUUUUGUUGGGAAAGAAAAGCAGCAGGUUAAUACCCCGCUGUUCUGACGGUACCCAAAGAAUAAGCACCGGCUAACUUCGUG
rnacentral:rRNA from 1 species